rnacentral:tRNA from 1 species
GAAACUUAAGUUAAAUUAAACUAAGAGCCUUCAAAGCCCUCAAUAGAAGUUAAUACUCUUCUAGUUUCUG